rnacentral:rRNA from 1 species
UACGUAGGGGGCAAGCGUUAUCCGGAUUUAUUGGGCGUAAAGAGCUCGUAGGCGGCCGUUCGCGUCGGAUGUGAAAGCUCAGGGCUCAACUCUGAGACGCCAUUCGAUACGGGACGGCUAGAGGUAGGUAGGGGAAAGUGGAAUUCCUGGUGUAGCGGUGAAAUGCGCAGAUAUCAGGAGGAACACCGGUGGCGAAGGCGGCUUUCUGGGCCUUACCUGACGCUGAGGAGCGAAAGCUGGGGGAGCGAACGGG